rnacentral:rRNA from 1 species
UUAAACGGCGGCGGUACUUGGACGGUGCGAGGGUAGCACAAUAAGGAGCCUCCUAAUUAGAGGAUAGAAUGAAUGAACCAACGAAAAAGACGCUGUCUCAUAUGUACACAAUGAAACUUAUAUAUGGGUGAAAAAGCCCAUGUUUCAAUUAAAGACAAGAAGACCCUAUAAGCUUUUUUAAACCUUAAUAUCUCUAAUUAUCAAUUAUUUAGUUGGGGCGACUCAAGGACAUAAACACUUUUCAAUACUUAGAUCUUAUUGCUCCCCAUCCUUAUUUCUA